CCAAGAUCUUGCAUCGACUGUUUAAUGUACUAAAAGGAAAAAAUACAAUUUUUAAUCGGCAUUUGUGGUUUGAUAUCUUAUUUGUUAUGCGGUUCGAUAUCUUAUUCCGUAUUCUAAAUUAAGGCUACGGCGACUAAACGAGUAAAUUUGCACUAAGCUUUUAUAUUCUACUAAAAAUCCGAUAUCUGUUAAUACUAAACGUGUAAACAUAGAGCCUAUAUCAUUCCGUUCACUCACGUUUUUCACUCUUCCGUGUUCUGGAGUGCCGACGAUUCUCACGACACAUAUGUUGUCUAAAACCUCGUUUAAAUGUGUCACAUUUGAUAGAUCCGCCAACCUAUUUAUUUGACUGCUUGAUAACGUAAGUGGCUUGUGAUCGUACUGGAAUUAUUUCAUGACUGUAACCGAUGUAUGCGAACGAUUGUCAAUGAUGCACAUGUGAUACAGAAAAUGACAGGAGAUGAAUAAUCGGAGGACAAGCGAAAGUAGGCUGCGUGAAGCGAAGUGAAUUUCUCGGAUGCACGCGUUGGUCACGUACCUUUUCAUCUCGGAAAAACGUUUGUGUCGCAGCGUUUGUCUCGAUCGCAAACGGGCCGAUGAACAGCAGGACAAUUUUUAGAAACAGCUCGAACAUUGUAACUAGUGUUCCUCAUCGGGCAAGUUCGUGCGAUCUGGGACGAAUUUACCCGAGUACUGAUUCAGUACUACUGACUGCUAGAUGAACCGACCGCUGAUUUCCUCUUUCCUCUGGCUGUCGGAAUUUUGCAACGGCAAACAGCGAGCAGACCACGACAUCUCGAGCGCCCCACUACUGAAUUUCUCCUGGGACUGUGAAUGUAUUACGAUUUUCAGAUUGCCUGGAGUAAAGCGAGUAUGAUCGACAAGUUUUAUAUAAUGAAAAACGACGGUACGGAGAGGAUGUUAGCAGACCGAGUUUAUCGAGUCUACAGGAUCAAACCGGUUCACAGCUUUGUCCGUCCAGUUUUCAACGAAGGAAAAAACAAAAGGGCUAGGCCGGGUUCUGGCGGGUAAGUGAGUGAGAG